AUGAGGCUCCCUGCUCAGCUCCUGGGGCUGCUAAUGCUCUAGGUCCCUGGAUCCACUGACGAUAUUGUGAUGACUCAGACUCCACUCUUCCUGUCCAUCACCCUUGGAGAGCCAGCCUCCAUCUCCUGCAGAUCUAGUCAGAGCCUCUUUUAUAGUGAUGACCAAAACAUCUAUUUGGAUUGGUACCUGCAGAAGCCAGGCCAGUCUCCACAGCUCCUGAUCUAUUUUGUUUCCUACCGGGCCUCUGGAGUCCCAGACAGGUUCAGUGGCAGUGGAUCAGGCACUGAUUUCAUACUGAAAAUCAGCAGGUUGGAGGCUGAGGAUGUUGGGGUUUAUUACUGCAUGCAACGUAUAGAGUUUCCUUCCACAAUGGUACAGCCCUGA